UUUAAAUUUUGAAAUCAAAGCAAAACUCUUAAGUAAUUAAUAUACACAUCUAAUGUUAGCUAUUCUAUAUCAUUUACAUUAUUUAAACAAUACUUCUUCAUUAUUAGAAGACACUAUUGCAAUGUCUCUAUGUUUUUUUUUUCCAUUUCACUAUUAAAGCUGGUGUUGGUCAAUAGGGACUAAAGUAAUGAGUGUUUAAGAAUUCAGGCUUUGUAAAUGUCCAACAACUGAUGAAUGGAUAAAGAUGUGGUAUAUAUAUAUAAUGGAAUACUACUUGGCAAUGAGAAAGAAUGAAAUCAUGACAUUUGCAGCAACAUGGAUGGAACUGGAGGGUAUUAUGCUAAGUGAAAUAAGUCAGUCAGAGAAAGACAGAUAUCAUAUGCUUUCACUUAUAUGUGCAUCUUGAGAAACUUAACAGAAGACCAUGGGGGAAGGGAAGGGGAAAAAAAUAGUUACAGAGAGGGAGGGAGGCAAACCAUAAGAGACUCUUAAAGAGAACAAACUGAGGGUUGAUGGGGGCUGAGGGAGAGGGGAAAAUGGGUGAUGGGCAUUGAGAAGGGCACUUGUUGGGAUGAGCACUGGGUGUUGUAUGUAAGCCAAUUUGACAAUAAAUUAUAUUUAAAAAAAGAAUUCAAGCUUUGGAUAGUGUCAAAAUAUUAGCACCAUUGGAGGUAAUAAUAAGUAGGUAAUUGUGAAUUUACUCACUUACUGAAAUAUUCUUCAUACAUAUAUUGAAGCUAUUCUCUCCUCAGCACUUAGAACCCUAUGUACCCAAUGUGGGUAAAAGGGAAAACUGGGCAGUGCUGCUGGGAAGCCUUGUUUAUUAUGGGGUUACCAUCUCAGCAAGAGUUAGGCUUCCUGACCUGGAUUUCAACAUCAUCAUUAAUUAAGGUGCCUCAGGACACAGAACAAGCAAAGGAAAAACUGCAGCCAGGAGAACAUGGUUUACAGAUAGAGCACAUUUGCACAAAGAGCUGUCACGUUAGAAAAAGAGGAGAAGAAGCUUGGAGAGAUUUGAGACAUUGGAUUGAAGGCCAUCACAUUAGAGACUUGGUUUUUUAUCUGGCAUUGUUUGACACAGUGAAAGCACAGAGAAUCCUAGGAGCCCGACUGUUGGACAUUUCUGUGGUUUAACACCCAUGAAGGCCCCUUCUGCCCUCACCUACUUUUGAUCCAUGGAGCUUAUCAUAGUGUUCUGAGGAGGAUUUACCAAACUAGAGUUCUGUUUAGAUUCUAAUAUUUUACCAAAAAAAAAAAAAAAAGUGAAACAGUUCUUACAGCUUUACUUCUACCCAGACAGAAGACCAGCGCAAUUAAGCAGGAAAUUGAUUCAGCUGAGACACACCGUGCAAUAUACUCAGAACCACCUUUUCUCCCUGACUACACAGACUACAUAGUUUAAAAAUUGAACUGGUAACAUUUGUCUCCUGAUGAUUUCUUCUGCCAAAAGCCUUUGCCUCAUGAGGAGUAUACACUUAUAGCAUUUGCCUUACCAAUAUUAGCCUUACUGAUACUAGCCUGGACUCCGGUGAAACCCCUAAUAAAGAAGGCUUUAAUGUUCCUUUGUACA
ensembl:lncRNA